CAUAAUUAUAUUGAUGCGAGCUGUGAAAACAACUUUGAAGAAGACUACCAAAAAAGGACCUGAGCCCUAGGACCAUGCCCCAGGACUACUUGACAUGAUGACUCCUUGCUGUCCCCAGUCCAUCUGACCAUGCUGCUGCUCCAGUUUCAACUGUUCUGCCUUAUUAUUAUACGACCAUGCUGGUCAUUUAUGAACAUUUGAACAUCUUGGCCAUGUUCUGUUAUAAUCUCCACCCGGCACAGCCAGAAGAGGACUGGCCACCCCACAUAGCCUGGUUCCCCUCUAGGUUUCUUCCUAGGUUUUGGCCUUUCUAGGGAGUUUUUCCUAGCCACCGUGCUUCUACACCUGCAUUGCUUGCUGUUUGUGGUUUUAGGCUGGGUUUCUGUACAGCACUUUGAGAUAUCAGCUGAUGUACGAAGGGCUAUAUAAAUACAUUUGAUUUGAUUUGAUUUUGGCUAGCAAACUAAAUCACUACAACUACAAUACCUCUUUCGCCAUCUGGCUUGGAUCCCUAGUUGACACGGUGCCCCACCGCACCACCACGACUGGUCUGCCGACGAAUACUCAAUCCGCUAUGCCUUCAACCGGCCUCCGUCGGACGUCGGAGCAGACGCUUCUACUAGCCCAGGGCUACUAACUUUAAAUGCUGUGUCGCCCGCGUGCUAGCGUAGUAGCGACUACCCCGCAUCUUCCCUGUUCCAUCUAUUGCUGCCCCCUGGACCCUAUGAUCAGUUGACUACAUAGCUGAUGCCUGUUGGAUUGUCUAUUAAUCACGGUACUCCAUUUUGUUUAUUUUUUGUUUAUCUGUCGGCCCCAGACGCGAACUCAGACUCUGUGUAGUUAACCGACCUUCCCUGCCCAUUCAGCCCCAUUUUACCUGUUGUUGUUGUUUUAGCUGAUUAGCUGUUGUUGUCUUAGCUAGCUCUCCCAAUCAACACCUGUGAUUAAUUUAUGCCUCACUGUAUGUCUCUCUCAAAUGUCAAUAUGCCUUGUAUAAAUGUUAUUUAGGUUAGUUAUUGUUUUACUUUACAAUGGAGCCCCUCUGAUGCCUCCUUUGUCCCACCUCCCACAAAUCCGGUGACCUCCCCCAUUAUAACCAGCAUGUCCAGAGAUACAAUCUCUCCUAUCAUCUGUGACGACCCUCCCACUCUGUCUGCCGAAUUCUCUCUUUGUUGUUUCCUUAUUAGGAUGUCGGUGGGCGGAGUUGGGAGGGUCGUCAGCUACAUGGGAAACACCUGGGCCCGGUGUCUCCCAGGAUAAAUACACCACUUCCCCAUUCAUGGAUGAGACUCUCUCCAUGCAGACACCUUUAUGGAUUUUGUUGUGUUUCUUGGUGGUUUUUGAGUUGUUUGCUUUAGCAUCUUUUCAACACCCUGCAUUAUCACAUUCAUGCAUGCAAAACACUCACUUACACUACUGAUUACUGAUUACACACACCAUUGUAUAUUUUCCUUAGUUGCU
ensembl:lncRNA